rnacentral:rRNA from 1 species
GGGUUGUGAGGUUAAGCGACUAAGCGUACACGGUGGAUGCCCUGGCAGUCAGAGGCGAUGAAGGGCGUGCUAAUCUGCGAUAAGCGCCGGUAAGGUGAUAUGAACCGUUAUAACCGGCGAUACCCGAAUGGGGAAACCCAGUGUGAUUCGUCACACUAUCAUUAACUGAAUCCAUAGGUUAAUGAGGCGAACCGGGGGAACUGAAACAUCUAAGUACCCCGAGGAAAAGAAAUCAACCGAGAUUCCCCCAGUAGCGGCGAGCGAACGGGGAGGAGCCCAGAGCCUGAAUCAGCAUGUGUGUUAGUGGAAGCGUCUGGAAAGGCGCGCGAUACAGGGUGACAGCCCCGUACACAAAAGCGCAUGUGCUGUGAGCUCGAUGAGUAGGGCGGGACACGUGGUAUCCUGUCUGAAUAUGGGGGGACCAUCCUCCAAGGCUAAAUACUCCUGACUGACCGAUAGUGAACCAGUACCGUGAGGGAAAGGCGAAAAGAACCCCGGCGAGGGGAGUGAAAAAGAACCUGAAACCGUGUACGUACAAGCAGUGGGAGCACCCUUUGGGGUGUGACUGCGUACCUUUUGUAUAAUGGGUCAGCGACUUAUAUUCUGUAGCAAGGUUAACCGUAUAGGGGAGCCGGAGGGAAACCGAGUCUUAAUUGGGCGUUAAGUUGCAGGGUAUAGACCCGAAACCCGGUGAUCUAGCCAUGGGCAGGUUGAAGGUUGGGUAACACUAACUGGAGGACCGAACCGACUAAUGUUGAAAAAUUAGCGGAUGACCUGUGGCUGGGGGUGAAAGGCCAAUCAAACCGGGAGAUAGCUGGUUCUCCCCGAAAGCUAUUUAGGUAGCGCCUCGUGAAUUCAUCUCCGGGGGUAGAGCACUGUUUCGGCUAGGGGGCCAUCCCGGCUUACCAACCCGAUGCAAACUGCGAAUACCGGAGAAUGUUAUCACGGGAGACACACGGCGGGUGCUAACGUCCGUCGUGAAGAGGGAAACAACCCAGACCGCCAGCUAAGGUCCCAAAGUCAUGGUUAAGUGGGAAACGAUGUGGGAAGGCCCAGACAGCCAGGAUGUUGGCUUAGAAGCAGCCAUCAUUUAAAGAAAGCGUAAUAGCUCACUGGUCGAGUCGGCCUGCGCGGAAGAUGUAACGGGGCUAAACCAUGCACCGAAGCUGCGGCAGCGACGCUUAUGCGUUGUUGGGUAGGGGAGCGUUCUGUAAGCCUGUGAAGGUGGCCUGUGAGGGUUGCUGGAGGUAUCAGAAGUGCGAAUGCUGACAUAAGUAACGAUAAAGCGGGUGAAAAGCCCGCUCGCCGGAAGACCAAGGGUUCCUGUCCAACGUUAAUCGGGGCAGGGUGAGUCGACCCCUAAGGCGAGGCCGAAAGGCGUAGUCGAUGGGAAACGGGUUAAUAUUCCCGUACUUGGUGUUACUGCGAAGGGGGGACGGAGAAGGCUAUGUUGGCCGGGCGACGGUUGUCCCGGUUUAAGCGUGUAGGUGUGUGUUCCAGGUAAAUCCGGUUCACUUUAACACUGAGGCGUGACGACGAGGCACUACGGUGCUGAAGCAACAAAUGCCCUGCUUCCAGGAAAAGCCUCUAAGCAUCAGGUAACAUCAAAUCGUACCCCAAACCGACACAGGUGGUCAGGUAGAGAAUACCAAGGCGCUUGAGAGAACUCGGGUGAAGGAACUAGGCAAAAUGGUGCCGUAACUUCGGGAGAAGGCACGCUGACACGUAGGUGAAGUGAUUUACUCAUGGAGCUGAAGUCAGUCGAAGAUACCAGCUGGCUGCAACUGUUUAUUAAAAACACAGCACUGUGCAAACACGAAAGUGGACGUAUACGGUGUGACGCCUGCCCGGUGCCGGAAGGUUAAUUGAUGGGGUCAGCGCAAGCGAAGCUCCUGAUCGAAGCCCCGGUAAACGGCGGCCGUAACUAUAACGGUCCUAAGGUAGCGAAAUUCCUUGUCGGGUAAGUUCCGACCUGCACGAAUGGCGUAAUGAUGGCCAGGCUGUCUCCACCCGAGACUCAGUGAAAUUGAACUCGCUGUGAAGAUGCAGUGUACCCGCGGCAAGACGGAAAGACCCCGUGAACCUUUACUAUAGCUUGACACUGAACAUUGAGCCUUGAUGUGUAGGAUAGGUGGGAGGCUUUGAAGUGUGGACGCCAGUCUGCAUGGAGCCGACCUUGAAAUACCACCCUUUAAUGUUUGAUGUUCUAACGUGGACCCGUUACCCGGGUUGCGGACAGUGUCUGGUGGGUAGUUUGACUGGGGCGGUCUCCUCCUAAAGAGUAACGGAGGAGCACGAAGGUUGGCUAAUCCUGGUCGGACAUCAGGAGGUUAGUGCAAUGGCAUAAGCCAGCUUGACUGCGAGCGUGACGGCGCGAGCAGGUGCGAAAGCAGGUCAUAGUGAUCCGGUGGUUCUGAAUGGAAGGGCCAUCGCUCAACGGAUAAAAGGUACUCCGGGGAUAACAGGCUGAUACCGCCCAAGAGUUCAUAUCGACGGCGGUGUUUGGCACCUCGAUGUCGGCUCAUCACAUCCUGGGGCUGAAGUAGGUCCCAAGGGUAUGGCUGUUCGCCAUUUAAAGUGGUACGCGAGCUGGGUUUAGAACGUCGUGAGACAGUUCGGUCCCUAUCUGCCGUGGGCGCUGGAGAACUGAGGGGGGCUGCUCCUAGUACGAGAGGACCGGAGUGGACGCAUCACUGGUGUUCGGGUUGUCAUGCCAAUGGCACUGCCCGGUAGCUAAAUGCGGAAGAGAUAAGUGCUGAAAGCAUCUAAGCACGAAACUUGCCCCGAGAUGAGUUCUCCCUGAGACUUAGAGUCUCCUGAAGGAACGUUGAAGACGACGACGUUGAUAGGCCGGGUGUGUAAGCGCAGCGAUGCGUUGAGCUAACCGGUACUAAUGAACCGUGAGGCUUAACCUUACAACGCCGAAG